rnacentral:lncRNA from 1 species
GACAUUCUUCUAAACAAGACACAAUGAAUAUUCUUCGUCAAUGGUCAGUUUCACCAAAUACCACAACAUCACAUUCUAAGGUUCAUUGAUUUUUAUGACAUAAUUUCAAGAUUCCGUGUAUAACAUAAAUACUUUACAAAAUAACAAAGAAAUUACAUUGUUUCAUGGUUCGAAUUCACAAACACUCACUUUACAACAAAUGAUUCAAUUACAUUACAUCAGCAAUUAAGCAUGCCAGCAACAUAUUAAACGGUACCCAAACACAAAACAAUGGAUUCUUGAAUGAACACGUGGGCAUUUUCCACGGAGAACCCUAUUUAUCCUGAGUGCAAUUUGGCCUCUGGUCUGUGACAGCUAUCUGUAGAAAACAAGAUCACAAUAAAAUGGAUCAAUUAAGAUCCACGCAAAUUAACAUCCAAAUCAAAAACCAAGUAUGAGAAAAUUAUAAUUUGGCCUCAGACAUCCAAGGAAGGAUAAAGCAGCAUUAACUCUCAAGCCUGGCGAAGGCGAAAGUUCUUAGGCGGCCACUGCGAAUGUCUUGAGAAACAAGCCUUACUUUUAUCAUCACUGGCCAUAAGAAACACAAAAGAAUGCACAAAAUACAAAAUAUUUGUGCACCGUCCCUCAAAAGCAGUAUCUCUAAUAAUUGGAAAGAUAAUUCUACCUACAAUUAGUAGGAUCGGCUUAUGCGAUUUAAUGCAAAAAACACAGAAGAACUUGCAGUAAAGACAUAUUAGGGAUCAAAGAAUAUUUCAAAAUCACAAAAAUAAAACAUUCAGAUAAAAUAGUAUCACAGACUCUCAGACAUCCAAGGAAGGAUAAAGCAGCAUUAACUCUCAAGCUUGGCGAAGGCGAAAGUUCUUAGUCGGCCACUGCGAAUGUCUUGAGAAACAAGCCUUAGGAUUAUCAUCAUAGAGCAUCUACAUUAAAGUAAAUAAUCUUAACAAAUCAGAACAAAAAUCAUAAUGAAAAGAAAAAAUUACAUAAAUGAAAAUGUUAUAAAUCUCAGACAUCCAAGGAAGGAUAAAACAGCAUUAGCUCUCAAGCCUGGCGAAGGCGAAAGCUCUUGGUCGGCCACUGCGAAUGUAUUGAGAAACAAGCCUUCAAGAUAUCAUCAUAGACGUAACCAAUUCAAUACAAUGCAAUACAAUUAAUCAGAUUUGGGAACAAAACAAAAUAUUUUAAGCUAUAUAAACAAAGGUGGAGAAUAGUUAAAUCGGGAAUUUAUGAAGGGAUCAUCAGAUAGGAGCGAAAGACUAUUAACAAAUUAGUAAUCACAGAUAAUCAUCUGAACUAUGCAUUUAAAAUCAUCAUUUGAACCCUUCCACAACAACCAUGACUACGUAAUUGAAACAAUUAACUAAAUAAAGUACUUUCACACAAUAAAAUAGAAAUUUGUGAAAAAAAUAAGCCUCAGAAGGAAGGCAGUAGGUGAUGGUAAUCAUGAAAUUUCAUACAUUACACGUUAACCAUUUCUAGCAUCAUAGGCAGAUCACAGAAUCAAAAAACAUUUUCAACAGAAAUAAAUAAAGAGUUUUAAAAAAAUUAAGAAUGAGAUAAUUGGCCUCAUAGAGAAGAUUAGGUUGAUCCACAUAAGUUAGUUCAGACAUAUGCUUGUCUUUUUUUUAGAUUUAAUCACUGGCCAAUCAAAAAAUCAGAAACCCUAAUUCUAAAAAGCUAUAACAUAAAACAUAAAAAGAUGAGAAAUUAAUAUGAAAAAAUAAGGGACUCGGAAUAUGGGUGGUGAUAUAGCAGAAUGGUCGGCAAGGCCAAAAGGCCGAUUACGACGAACGAGACCUUAACUAUAAAUCAUCAUCGUCCCUAAUGAAUUAAAUAACUUGUGAAAACAAAGAUUGAAAAAUAAAAGAUUGAGAAGAAAGAAACACUAUGCUAUAGAGAGAGGGAGAGAGAAGCGUGAAAUGAAAGAGGGGAGUGGGUGGGUUAUAAAGAGGGGGAAAGAGAGAACUAGGGUUUUGGUAAAGCGGCGGCGAGAGACUCGUGCCAAAAUAUAAGUCUCUA